rnacentral:rRNA from 1 species
UACGGAGGGGGCUAGCGUUGUUCGGAAUUACUGGGCGUAAAGCGCACGUAGGCGGCUUUGUAAGUUAGAGGUGAAAGCCCGGAGCUCAACUCCGGAACUGCCUUUAAGACUGCAUCGCUUGAACAUCGGAGAGGUGAGUGGAAUUCCGAGUGUAGAGGUGAAAUUCGUAGAUAUUCGGAAGAACACCAGUGGCGAAGGCGACUCACUGGACGAUUGUUGACGCUGAGGUGCGAAAGCGUGGGGAGCAAACAGG